rnacentral:rRNA from 1 species
UACGAAGGGGGCUAGCGUUGCUCGGAAUCACUAGGCGUAAAGCGCAGGUAGGCGGUUUGGUAAGUCUCUUGUGAAAGCUCCUGGCUCAACUGGGAGAGGUCAAGGGAAACUACCGGACUAGAGUGUGGUAGGGGAUACUGGAAUUCCUGGUGUAGCGGUGAAAUGCGUAGAUAUCAGGAGGAAUACCUAUGGCGAAAGCAGGUAUCUGGGCCAUCACUGACGCUGAGCUGCGAAAGCUAGGGGAGCAAACAGG